UACGGGGGGGGCAAGCGUUGUUCGGAAUUACUGGGCGUAAAGGGCUCGUAGGCGGCCAACUAAGUCAGACGUGAAAUCCCUCGGCUUAACCGGGGAACUGCGUCUGAUACUGGAUGGCUAGAGGUUGGGAGAGGGAUGCGGAAUUCCAGGUGUAGCGGUGAAAUGCGCAGAUAUCAGGAAGAACACCCGUGGCUAAGGCGGUUCUCUAGUACGGUACUGACGCUGAGACGCGAAAGCGUGGGGAGCGAACAGG
rnacentral:rRNA from 1 species